CCUACGGGUGGCAGCAGUGGGGAAUAUUGGACAAUGGGCGAAAGCCUGAUCCAGCCAUGCCGCGUGUGUGAAGAAGGCCUUCGGGUUGUAAAGCACUUUCAGUGGGGAAGAAAGCCUUGGGGCUAAUACCCUCGAGGAAGGACAUCACCCACAGAAGAAGCACCGGCUAACUCCGUGCCAGCAGCCGCGGUAAUACGGAGGGUGCGAGCGUUAAUCGGAAUUACUGGGCGUAAAGCGCGCGUAGGCGGUCUGAUAAGCCGGUUGUGAAAGCCCCGGGCUCAACCUGGGAACGGCAUCCGGAACUGUCAGGCUAGAGUGCAGGAGAGGAAGGUAGAAUUCCCGGUGUAGCGGUGAAAUGCGUAGAGAUCGGGAGGAAUACCAGUGGCGAAGGCGGCCUUCUGGACUGACACUGACGCUGAGGUGCGAAAGCGUGGGUAGCAAACAGGAUUAGAUUCCCUGGUAGUC
rnacentral:rRNA from 1 species